AAACCAUGAUGAGGACAUUAUCGCAAUAAACUCUUAAAUCUGUCUCAUGCUUCAAAUAUUGGUUCCCUAUUUUUCUAAACAAAUUUUUGGAUACACAAUUCUGCUU